GCCUGGUUAGCUCAAUCGGUAGAGCGUUUGACUCUUAAUAUCAAAAGGUUGCGGGUUCGACCCCCGCAUCGGGCU